UGACUGUAAGACGUGUCUUGUUUUUUUCCUUUGGAUUUUAGAUAAUUUUGGCCACCAAAGUUGCCGGUUAUUCAGAGCGGUCUACAUUUCUUCGAGACAAUGCAAAAGUAGUUCGUGUUGAUGCUGCCAAUAUCAAAGUAAGUAUUGAAAUGAGUCUUAAACGCUUGUCUAUAGAUUACAUUGAUUUGCUUCAGAUACACUGGUCAGUGUCAGAUUGUUCCACUUGUAUAGCUAUAUGCCUGACAAAAACAACAUUUAGGACUUUAGGUUCACUUUUUUGUUGUCAGUCUUUUACCAACAUACAUGGAAACAUUCCAUUAGACAUCAGUUGGAAUUUUUUCCCUCGUACAAAAUUAUGCCAAUUUUUUUAAGGAAAUUGAUGAAUGUAUUGGUCGGGAAAGUCAAUAUGCAUUGUGUUGGUGACUUGUUCUCAAGUGCUAAGAGUUAAGAACAAGGCAACAUAAAAAGUGUUAAGAGUUAAAGUCCUUCGUCCUUCGAAGCAUUAUGUCCCCUUCGGGAAAUAAUGAGUCUGGGACGAAGGUCUUUAGAGAAAUACCUUCGCAAACAUAACGGAUAAUGACGAAGGACUUUAUAUAAAACAUGAAAUAUAAUAUGAGUAUUAUCGCAGAAUCAUUUCUAUUUUAUUAACAUGGAAAAAUAGAAAUGAUUUUAAAUUACAAAUGUACCUUCGGUCCUGAGAGAAGGUAGUGAAUACAAGCGUGACGCCAAAAACAAAUGCCAAGUCAGCGUGAACAGUACGGGAGUACUGUUCAUCUAUUUAUAGACGCGGGACGCAGCCCACGUAAAAUUACAUCCAUGCCCAUUACAUUUGUUAACGGUUUAUGAAAAUCUAUUGAGGACCCCGAAGUCUUUUCAUCUUUAAGUCGGUUCCCCCUUCUGCCAUCGCGCCGAAGCUUUCCUGCGCACAGCUUCGGCUACACUCGACCUUCGUCUGGUUCAGGCUUCGUCCUGGCUGUGCUCCAUAUUCAUAAUUCUGGAUCCGAAAAUACCUGUUCACAUAAUCCACUCGGAAAACAUUGUCAAAUUAUGUUUUUGAGGACCUUCGGAGGACGAAGGCCCCCAACAGUAGCCCCUCGCAAUAUUAAUUUGUAACUAAUAAAUUCAGAUUGCGAUAUGGACGAAGGCCUUAAGCCGAAGGUCCGAAAAAACACCUUCCCUUUGCUAGAAUAGCAACAUUCACUGACAAGCGGGGCCUUUUAACUUUCAACGCCCUAGGCGUAUAAAUAAGAACACAUCGUGAAUUCAUUUGGUACACACGCUUGCCUUUUGCUUCGGCCCACUAAAAAUUUUUAGCUCUUGCUCAUUGAGAUUUGCUGGUCUUUUUUGAUUUCGAAGCUUCGGCCCUGGGAACAAAUUUUUAGUGUUUCCGAAGAUGUCUGAAGACAAGAAGAUCCCUGCUGAGACGAAGCUGAGUCUCGAGGAGGAGAAGAAUCUGGGGUUCCUGAUAGCGAUGGCAGAGACUAAUACAGAGAAAAUCACGAAGGAGAUUCUUGAAGGUUUGUCCGAAGAUACUGAUGACAGCGACAGCUAUGAUGUGGAAAGUGAUGGGGAAGAGGCCGAAGAUCGACCGUGGCGACCAAGUCACUCAGUUUUUGGGAAAACAACCAUCAAGCAGAGUCACAUUGAUAAUAUGAGGGGGCGAUACUUCCGAGACAUAUCUAUUGUGAGAGCUGACGCCGGGGAAAAGACUUCUCCCACCCCUGAAGAGGAUGAAGUUGUGAUUUUCCGAAGCCUCCUCAAGGCUGGGCUUCGAUUCCCCCUGAGCAAUUUUGUUAUUGAGGUACUGAAAACAUUCCAAAUCUACCUUCAUCAACUCACUCCCGAAGCUAUUAUAAGAAUGGGGAUUUUUGUCUGGGCUGCGAGAAGCCAAGGUUUGGAACCAAACGCUAAAAGCUUCUGCAACAUACACGAGUUAUUGUACGAGACGAAGCCCUGGGGAAAGGAGCAAUACCACAACAACUUUGGGUGCUACAGCUUCGGCGCCCGCUCCGGGUCAAGCUACCCUGUGCCAACCUUUCGGAAGAGGUGGCCCGGAGCCUGGAUGUCUGAAUGGUUUUAUGUGAAAAAUGAUCUAACAGCGCAAAAUAAUGUCAAAAGUAUCAUUAUGUACCCAAUUUGGCAACGCUUCGGGCUUCGAAGGCCGAAGGUUGAAAUGGAUGAAGCAGCCGAAGAAUGCCAAAGAGCCUUCGGCGCAGUCUGCUCCUUCAUUGGGACAAGGGACUUGGUCCAGGAACACAUUGCCUUCAGGGUAUGGCCACUUGCAGAAAAGUGGGAAAUGCCGAAAGAAACCAUCAAAGAGUCCGACGAAGGCGGACUAGUCAGAUUAAAAUACACAUUCAAAUAUGCAGAUAAAUUUAUUGAACCUGAUGAUGACUGGCUGAAAAGCAUUGAAACAUUAAGUGAUGAAUUACUUGGGGCAUUCUCGAAGGCUGAAAAUACUGCACUAUCAGCAGCCUUCGGAGGCCGAAAAAAGAAGAGACUGAACCGAGUGUUUGAUGCAAUCGGGUUCUUCUACCCUGAUUAUUGUUAUCCCAUCCGAAGGCAAAAAAGGAAAAACAUAACCUCUGAAAAAGAAGAAGCUGAAACCGCUCCUAGCGAGCCAGAACCAAAAGGAAAAAGGCUGAAGAUCUUCACACACCGACCACGCCAUAUUGAACCAGCUUCGGUGCCUGAGUAUACUGGAGGAACCCCUUCGGCCGCUGAAGGUGAACGGCCACUCUUAUUGCCAGAAAUUGCAGAGAUGGCCGAAGCACCAUCGACAGAAGAAAUGGAAGAAGCGAAAAAUGUGACUAAGGAAAAAACCUCAGAAAUUUUAAGUCCUGCAAUAAACGUUGAAGCAACAAAAAUCCAAAAGGCUCCAAUGGUGACCCCAAAAAGGAAAAGAAUGGUAAAUGUACUAGAUGUCUUGGAGACAAUUAAGUCUUCAAGCACAACUCCAAAAAAGAGUGUUGAAAUUGCUGAAGCUUCCUCUGAAGCUCCGAUACAACAAACUGAAGCUGAAGCUGGGCCUUCAGAGCCCUUCAAGGAAGAAACUUUGGAAGCCGAAGCGAUAAAAAUACCAGAACCAAUUUUAGUUGAAGAGACGGACACUGCCAUCCCCGAAGCGCCUGCCAGCAUGUGUGAUUACAUCAUACGACAUGCUUCGGGAAAAAAGCUAUCUGAGGAAGAAACUCAUGAGGCCAUCCAUUAUGCAAAGGAGCUGAAAUAUCCGAAGGGGGCAGUAAUAUUCAAUGGAACAAAUGAAGAUGACUUCUUAUACUGCCUGCCUGAUAACAAAGAGCUAUCCGUCUGCCGAGAGAUGGCGAGAAGCAUAGGCUUUCCGAAGCUUGAAGCUGGGUUAAGUGCCAUGACGAAAGAGGAUCUCGCAGACAGCCUCGCGUACAAUAGCCUGAAGGUACGGGAAUUAAACACUUGAGAAAAACCCCCUAUUCUUUUUUUACGCAACGCAUUCCUUUUUUCUUAUAUGAAUUCUUUUUGCAUAUAGGGCCUGGUCCUAAGCAACGCGUUAAGAGCGCAAAAGAGCGCCGAAGAUGAAAGUUAUGAAAUUGCGUUUAAUAAUUUACGCUCCGAAGUUAUCAAACUGAGAAACGAAGCUUUGGAAAAAGAUAAAAUUCUACUUACACUGGUAGAUAAAGUGAAAAAAGACGAAGCUGCUUCAAAGGCCCAGGCCGAAGCUCAAAAGCGCGAGAUUAAAGAUCUUCAGAAACAGCUGGCUAGAGCUAAAGAGGAGCGCUCGCUUGAGGAAACGAAACGAGAACUUAGUGAUUUUAUGGUCAACAAAUUGGAAUCAAAAGUUAAGGAGCUUCGCACAUCUCAAGGGAAAUGCUAUGUCAAAUCUGUAGAAUGUGUGAAUAAAAUUAAAUCCAGCUUCGCCAGCGUAGGCGCCUUUUCCAGCGAAGAGAAUUUCUCUCGAGGCAAUCCCGAAGGUCCGCUGGAAUGGAUUAGCCACGAAGCAGAGGCCUUCGAAGAGAUUCUGAACAGUCGUGGCGACAUAUGUGCUUUUUCGGGCGCCAGAGGAAUUGCUUCCGUCCUGGAGAAGAAAGGUUGCGAACAUGUAAAAUUUUUAGCUCAAUCCGAAGCUACCUUAUCUACCGAAGACAUCAAGGACCCCUCGGCCGAAGCGAGCGUGGUUGGCGGCAAAUUUUUUACUGAUAUCUGGAACGACGGCGGCCGAGGAAUGGCGCGAGAGAUCAUUGAAAGAAGCGAAAAAGGCAUUCACGAUGCUAGAAGAGUAGCAGACGCUGCCGAAAGGAGUAGGGAGCCCGAAGGACAGUUAGGUACCAAGUAGUCGUUCUUGUUGCGUUGUAAUUUUCAUUUUAAACUUUUGCUCACGAUUUGUAAAAGUACUGAAGAAGUGUUUUCUUCGCUCAGAAACUGUUGGACGAUCUGCCGACCCCCACACAAAAGGGGAUGAAGAAAUUAAUCAAAUGGCCGAAACUAUCAUGGACAAGGUUGUUGACCAACUUCUGAAUGAAGCCGCCGAAGCAGUAUUGAGGGAAGAUUAGGUGCUAUUUGGAAAAAACAUUUAAAGUGUAAUCUAUGCAACACUUUGUACAUUUGAAUGUAAUAUACAAGUCUCUUUUCAUUAUUGAAUUCUUUACGAUGCAUGAAACUUUAAAUACAUACCACUUUUGAGCCUUUGGCGAAAAAACACCUUCCCUUCUUUUCAUGCGUCGUGAAGAAGAUAGCCUUCGUCAAAAUUAUUCUGAUGAAUGACAUCGAUGCCUCGUGAAAACAUUUUCCGAGGCUAUUUUCCGAAGCUAUGCAACUUUGAUAUUGAUCUGAUAAAGUUCGCCCAUGUUUCGUGAAAAUAUUCCCCGAAACUGUAUUCCGAAGCUAUACAAUUUCAAUGUCACUUUUUCAAAGCAUCCCUUCGAAGGUUGAGAGUGUCCCCUUCUCUUGCCAAAUGCGAUAUGAUGUAUGAUGCUUAUGCUAUGCAAAAUGAUGUGAUGAUGUUAUGUUAUGCAUGUGACAUUUGUUCCGAAGAUACACAUAAAAUAUAUUCGUAAGCUCUGCAUUCCCUUAGGAACGUCUUUGGAGCUUCUUCGUCUUUUUUCACUUAGACGGCAUCAGCGUUGACUUUUCGCUGUAAGCCUCCCUUAGGAGCUUCUUCGUCUUUUACUUAGACGGUAUCAGCGUUGACUUUUCGCUGUAAGCCUCCCUUAGGAGCUUCUUCGUCUUUUACUUAGACGGUAUCAGCGUUGAUUUUUCGCUGUAGGCUCUGCAUUCCUUUAGGAACGACUUCUGAGCAGAAAACUUACGCUGCGCUCCCUUUGGAACGACUUUUUGUGACUUUAUAAACUUACUCUGCGUUCCUUAGAACGACUUUUUGUUACUCCGAAGGAAUUUUAGUCCGAAGGUCCUUCUUGGUAACGGAAGAAAUUUUAGGCUUCGGCAACUUAGGCCUGUGAAUCAAAUAAAUUUUUCUCGUGAAAACAACGAAAUUAUUACAUGGAAACUAUCAAUGUUUUUUGCUUCACAGAAAACAAAACUGAAUAGAAAAGACUGCUAUCAAAGGUAGGAUAUGUCAAUAAAUGUGCUUCGACUCUGGCACAGUGCUGUUGACUGUGCGAGCUUCGGACUGUUCUCUGAAGUCCCUCUGCUGUGGAGCGUAUUGACUCCCUUCUGGCUGUUGACCUUGCUGCAAUGGAGGUGGAGGCGGAAGCUGCUGCCAGGAAGCUUGAGGUUGGCUUGCCGAAGCUACAGAAGCCGCAGGGUGGUUGUCUAUGUAUUGUGGGACAUAAGGCGGAUGAAACGAAGCAGUAUGCAUAACCUGCUUCGACUGAGCUUGUUGAGAUGCAGCUUCGGCUAGUUCCUUUUGCUUCUGGAUUGUAACAUGGCACGUCCUAGUGGUGUGGCCCUUGCCCUCUCCACAGAAUAGGCAAAACAGUCUCCUUGGCUGAUCUCCGAAUCUUCCGCCGAAGCCCCUGGCGCCUCUGCCUCUUGGAGCUGAUGGCCGAAAGAAAGUUUGUUGUUGCCCCGAAGCCUGUGAGGAGCACUGCGGCCUGUUUUGCUGACUCCCCUUAUCAUCAUUCUGAGUGUUGUGAAUGGAACGGACAUGCCUCGGGUAGUAUCUUCCUCCGAAGCCCCUGGUCAUCUCAGAAAACCUGAAGGCCUCCUCCCUUCUUUGGCGAAAGUCAUUGUCAGCACGAACGUACUCAUCCAUCUUUUGGAGCAAUUUCUCCAAGGUCUGAGGAGGCUUCCGAGCAAAGUAUUGAGCUGCAGGUCCAGGACGGAGCCCCUUGAUCAUGGCUUCGAUAACGAUUUCAUUGGGCACCGUUGGUGCCUGCGCCCUCAAUCGUAAGAACCUUCGGACAUACGCCUGAAGGUAUUCUUCGUGAUCCUGAAUACACUGGAAGAGGGCUUGAGCUGUAACUGGCUUCGUUUGAAAUCCUUGAAAGUUGGUCAGUAACAUAUCCUUCAGCUUCUGCCAUGAAGUGAUUGUUCCUGGCCGAAGAGAGGAAUACCAGGUCUGAGCAACAUUCCUGACGGCCAUGACGAAAGACUUCGCCAUGGUUGCAGCGUUGCCCCCGUACGAAGACACUGUUGCUUCGUAGCUCAUCAAGAAUUGCUUCGGGUCGGAGUGGCCGUCAAACAUGGGGAGCUGGGGUGGCUUAUAGGAUGGAGGCCAAGGAGUAGCCUGCAGCUCAGCAGACAGAGGAGAAGCAUCAUCAAAAACAAAAUUUCCCUGAUGGAAAUUAUCAUACCAGUCGUCUUCGUUGACGAAGCCCUCCUGAUGGUGGUCUUUCUGAUGAGGCCUUCUGUUCUGCUCAUCGUGAGUGAGAUGGCGAACUUCCUCAGAAGCUUCGUCAAUUUGCCUUUGCAACUCAGCUAGGCGGGCCACCUUCUCCUUCUUCCUCUGCACUUGUUGAUGAAGCAUCUCCAUCUCUCUGAUUUCUUGGUCUAGCUCUUCUUCCUCAAGCGUCGGGCUAACAGCUUUUCUCUUCUGGCUUCUGGCCUCCCGAAGAGAGACGGUCUCCUGGUUGUGGUCCAGCGGUUGUAGUGCUGCAGCCCCAGCCGCUGAAGCUUUCUUCGGCGCCAUAGCGAAGGUCUAUAGCUUCCGAAGGUGUUCACGAAGACUCGAAGUGGAAGUGAGUUCACCGGAGGUGGGCGCCAAUGUUGGUGACUUGUUCUCAAGUGCUAAGAGUUAAGAACAAGGCAACAUAAAAAGUGUUAAGAGUUAAAGUCCUUCGUCCUUCGAAGCAUUAUGUCCCCUUCGGGAAAUAAUGAGUCUGGGACGAAGGUCUUUAGAGAAAUACCUUCGCAAACAUAACAGAUAAUGACGAAGGACUUUAUAUAAAACAUGAAAUAUAAUAUGAGUAUUAUCGCAGAAUCAUUUCUAUUUUAUUAACAUGGAAAAAUAGAAAUGAUUUUAAAUUACAAAUGUACCUUCGGUCCUGAGAGAAGGUAGUGAAUACAAGCGUGACGCCAAAAACAAAUGCCAAGUCAGCGUGAACAGUACGGGAGUACUGUUCAUCUAUUUAUAGACGCGGGACGCAGCCCACGUAAAAUUACAUCCAUGCCCAUUACAUUUGUUAACGGUUUAUGAAAAUCUAUUGAGGACCCCGAAGUCUUUUCAUCUUUAAGUCGGUUCCCCCUUCUGCCAUCGCGCCGAAGCUUUCCUGCGCACAGCUUCGGCUACACUCGACCUUCGUCUGGUUCAGGCUUCGUCCUGGCUGUGCUCCAUAUUCAUAAUUCUGGAUCCGAAAAUACCUGUUCACAUAAUCCACUCGGAAAACAUUGUCAAAUUAUGUUUUUGAGGACCUUCGGAGGACGAAGGCCCCCAACACAUUGUAUAAUGUAAAAUCAGGUCUGAGCACUCAGGUCUGGCGUCUAAAGGUGUCUUUUCUAUUCUAUGCUUCACAUAAGGUUCAACUUGUUCUCCUUUUUUUGUUACUUACUCCCUCUGUUACUUCUGGUUGCAUCCCUAGGACCCAUACAUAUGAAAGCGCUACUAUUGUAACCGUGAGAUGAUCUGAUGGCUGGUUUGGCGACGACGACGUCUUGGUGCAGGUGGAGCUGCUAUUUAUGGAGAGGAGCGUUGAUAGUCAUUGUUCUGGGAUGGUAGUCCGCAUGACUGAACGUUAGUCAUCACUUCUUAGACUUUAUUUUGGUUAUAUUCGUGUUGUAGUAUAAUUUGAUUUGUACAAGUUUAGUUCUAUAUUGAUUGUUGACAAAGAAUUUGCGAGAGAUUGAGGUCAAUGAUAAUAUGUGUUUUGUUUUUAUGUAA
rnacentral:lncRNA from 1 species